UUUUUAGUGCAAGUAUGUCCCAUGCAAUAUUUGGAACAUACUUAUACUAAAA
rfam:Macaca mulatta chromosome 4, whole genome shotgun sequence.